AAGAAAACGUUGACGAGGAAAAGUAAUCUCAGUUAGGUAUCUACAGAGAGCCGGUGGUGCUGCAAACCGGUGUUACCCCUGAUGGUGAACUCACCUCUGAGUGUCAAUCUGAACGAUGAUUUGCUAUUAGGAUUGACCGAGUGUUUUAAAUCACUCGUUACAAAAAAAGGGCGGAGCAAUGUGGAAUUAUGAUCAUUGUCGCUCAUGAGGUGCUGCUCCGAAAGGAGUAUCACGAAUUUAGGGUGGUAUCGUGGAGAGCUAAAACCUUUUCACCCCUUUG
rfam:Bacillus azotoformans LMG 9581 contig08, whole genome shotgun sequence.